GCAAACAUGAAUGCAACAUAAGAGCAAUCUGUUUAAACAGAUCCAUCAUCUAUGGAACUAGAUAAAUGUUCUGUUGAUACCGUAGACUCAUGUUGGAUUCAUGUUUAUGGUUCUAGGUGCCCGUAAUAUGUCGAAUAGAUGGACAUUCUUUUGCAACAGAUUAGUAAUCUGUUUCAACAGAUAAAUACUCUGUUGCACCAAAUUAGUUAUCUGUUCCAAUAGUGUA
rnacentral:lncRNA from 1 species